CAAUAGCGUAUAUUAAAGUUGUUGCGGUUAAAAGCUCGUAGUUGGAUUUCUGCUGAGGACGACCGGUCCGCCCUCCGGGUGAGCAUCUGGUUCGGCCUUGGCAUCUUCUUGGUGAACGUAUCUGCACUUGACUGUGUGGUGCGGUACCCAGGACUUUUACUUUGAGGAAAUUAGAGUGUUUCAAGCAGGCAUACGCCUUGAAUACAUUAGCAUGGAAUAAUAAGAUAGGACCUCGGUUCUAUUUCGUUGGUUUCUAGAGCUGAGGUAAUGAUUAAUAGGGAUAGUUGGGGCAUUCGUAUUUAACUGUCAGAGGUGAAAUUCUUGGAUUUGUUAAAGACUAACUUAUGCGAAAGACAUUUGUCCAAGGAAUGUUUUCUAUUAAAUUCAAAGAACGAAAAGUUAAGGGGAAGUCAAAGAACGAUCAGAUACCGU
rnacentral:rRNA from 1 species